AUGUUAUCAAUGCUUUGACUGAGCUGUCAAGGCUUGUCAAUAUUGAAGACAUCUCUAAUCAGACCCCUCAUCAGGUGCCAGUAAUGCAAGGAGAAAUGGGACGACCAAAAUAUGUUGUCUGUCCUCAGCAACUACAAGGCUUAAUAGAAGACUUGUCCCUACCAGUGUCGGCCAUAGCAACACUUCUGGGUGUAUCUGAGAAGACAGUCAAAAGGCGCAUGCAUGAAAAUGGCCUUUCCAUAAAACAGUCCUACAGUACCCUAACUGAUGAUGAACUAGACAAUUUGGUUCGGUCAGUUAAGGCCAGGACACCACAUGUAGGAUAUCGAAUGAUGAAAGGAAUCCUGAAGGCCAUGGGUCACCGUGUGCAAUGGAAGAGAGUGUCUUCAUCAAUGCAUCGUGUUGAUUCUGUGGGUGUACUCACAAGAAUGGAAAGGGUGGGGUGUGUUGCAAGAAGGACAUAUUCUGUUCAGGGUCCUCUGCACUUGGUACACAUCGACACAAAUCAUAAACUCAUCAGGUACGCCACACAUUUGAUGUUUACAUGCUAUUUACAAUAACGGAUAAUAGAGUACAAAUUAAAAAAGUUAUGUUUUAAAAUGCCCUGUCACAGUUGUUUGCAUAAUAGAUAACAGACACUAAAAGUGAUUUUGUGUUGUUUUUCAAAGAUAUGGUCUUGUUAUUUUUGGAGGGAUUGAUGGCUUCUCACGGAAGAUCAUGUACCUGGGUGCUGCCACUAAUAAUAAAGCAUCGACUUCACUUGACUUCUUCUUGGAGGGUGUGCAAAAGUAUGGCUUUCCAUUAAGAGUAAGAGCCGACCAAGGAGUGGAAAAUGUUGGCAUAGCGCGAUGCAUGUUCACUAUAAGGGGCUGUGGAAGGGGAAGCUUCAUGUCAGGGAAAAGUGUGCACAAUCAAAAGGUACAUUCUUUGAAGUAAUGUCAAACAAUGACAAACACAAAGCCAUCAUUUGUGAAUAUACUGUGCUUUGUCCAAUUUGAUGAUUUUUAUUUUA